rnacentral:sRNA from 1 species
GAAGUUAAUCAAUGGAUGUUUUUCCAUUCGUCUGUAUCUUCAAUGACUUCCAACUAAUUUGAAAGUUUCAGUGUUCUGAAUCAUUUUUGGUUCAGUUUUCUAGGAUUAUGUUGGAGCCACAUAGGAAUGUCUGGAGAGGGCUGGCCUGGAGUGGGAAUGACAAACCAGCAGAAAGACAAAUUAAUGAAGUAGCAAGAAGAACCUGCCCCCGAGUGUCUCAAGAUCACAGCGAAAGCAUGGACGGAGGAUGGCAGCUAAGCAGACUUAACACAACAUUCUGGAGGCCCCAUGAGAUUCCCCAGAGACUAGGAUGCAGGGCCACUGGACCACUGGGUCACUUGGCCCCCUCUGGGGAAAUAGUGUGGAGAACCUACAGAGAGGACUGCAGACCCUAAGACAUUCCAGGACCUCAGGAAUUUCUCCUGCAUCUACUCCCACUGCCCCAGCCCCAGAAGCUCCCAACAAAAGAUUACAGAAAGUUAUCUGUAUCGGUCUCUUCUGGAGGUGAGCCUGUUUAUGGUACUUUCUAAAACAUACACUUUUGAAAGGCAACCUUAAUUCUAGUGUCUGGGAUCUGCAAAAGAUUUCACUGCAUCCUCGGAUU